UAGCGGAUGACUUGUGGCUGGGGGUGAAAGGCCAAUCAAACCGGGAGAUAGCUGGUUCUCCCCGAAAGCUAUUUAGGUAGCGCCUCGUGAACUCAUCUUCGGGGGUAGAGCACUGUUUCGGCUAGGGGGUCAUCCCGACUUACCAACCCGAUGCAAACUGCGAAUACCGAAGAAUGUUAUCACGGGAGACACACGGCGGGUGCUAACGUCCGUCGUGAAGAGGGAAACAACCCAGACCGCCAGCUAAGGUCCCAAAGUCAUGGUUAAGUGGGAAACGAUGUGGGAAGGCACAGACAGCCAGGAUGUUGGCUUAGAAGCAGCCAUCAUUUAAAGAAAGCGUAAUAGCUCACUGGUCGAGUCGGCCUGCGCGGAAGAUGUAACGGGGCUAAACCAUGCACCGAAGCUGCGGCAGCGACACUAUGUGUUGUUGGGUAGGGGAGCGUUCUGUAAGCCGUUGAAGGUGUGCUGUGAGGCAUGCUGGAGGUAUCAGAAGUGCGAAUGCUGACAUAAGUAACGAUAAUGCGGGUGAAAAACCCGCACGCCGGAAGACCAAGGGUUCCUGUCCA
rnacentral:rRNA from 1 species